GGUCAAACUACAAAGGGCUCACGGUGGAUACCUU
rnacentral:rRNA from 1 species